UUGGCUGGGGCGGUACACCUGUCAAGUCGUAAGGCAGAUCUCCUAAGGUGAGCUCAGGGAGGAUAGAACCUCCUGUGGAGAAGAAAGGCAAAAGCUCGCUUGAUCACGACUUCCAGUACAAAUGCAGACCAUGAAAGUAGGGCCUCAUGAUCCUUCUGACUUCUUGGGUUUUACCCAAAACCCCAAACAUCCCUAAUUAUGUUUAGGCCUGUAAAUUGUAAUUGUUAUUUUCCAGAAAGAGUUUUACAACCAUUAGAACCGAAAAUGACUAAUGUAAAGUAAAAAUUUUAAAAAGAAUUAACAGUAAUUAAAAGCAGAUG
rnacentral:ncRNA from 1 species